UCAGUCAACACAGCAGAAAGCACAACCACCAUGACUCUCAUCACCAUCCUCAUCUGGACGCUGACCUGCUGCUGUUUUACAGGAGGCAGCGGUCAGGUGACUGUGACUCAACCUCCAGUAGUGACAUCUACUCCUGGAUCCACUGUGACUCUGACCUGUAGGACCAGCCAAGCUGUUUACAGAGAUUCUGAUGAUGAUGAUUAUGUAUUCUGGUAUCAGCAGAAGUCUGGACAGACUCCAAAGCUCCUAAUAAAAUGGGCAAAAACACUUCAGUCAGGAACACCAUCUCGAUUUAGUGGCAGUGGAAGCAGCUCUGACUUCUCUUUGACCAUCAGUGGAGUUCAGGCUGAAGAUGCAGCAGUUUACUACUGUCAGAGUUACCACAGCGGUGGGGUGUUCACACAGUGA